AAUUGGAGGGCAAGUCUGGUGCCAGCAGCCGCGGUAAUUCCAGCUCCAAUAGCGUAUAUUAAAGUUGUUGCAGUUAAAAAGCUCGUAGUUGAAUUUCGGGAUCAAUAUUUCGGUCAUGCCGUUGGUAUGCACUGUUAUCAUUGAUUUCUCACCUUCUAAAGAACCGUAAUGCCAUUAAUUUGGUGUUACGGGGAAUUAGGACUGUUACCUUGAAAAAAUUAGAGUGUUUAAAGCAGGCCCACGCUUGAAUACAUUAGCAUGGAAUAAUGAAAUAGGACAUCCGAUUCUAUUUUGUUGGUUUCUAGGAUCGAUGUAAUGAUUAAUAGGGAUAGUUGGGGGCAUUAGUAUUCAAUUGUCAGAGGUGAAAUUCUUGGAUUUAUUGAAGACUAACUACUGCGAAAGCAUUUGCCAAGGAUGUUUUCAUUAAUCAAGAACGAAAGUUAGGGGAUCGAAGACGAUCAGAUACCGUCGUAGUCUUAACCAUAAACUAUGCCGACUAGGGAUCGGAUGAUGUUAAUUUUUUAAUGACUCAUUCGGCGCCUUACGGGAAACCAAAGUGU
rnacentral:rRNA from 1 species